rnacentral:rRNA from 1 species
GACGAACGCUGGCGGCGUGCUUAACACAUGCAAGUCGAACGGAAAGGCCCUGCUUUCGGGGUACUCGCGUGGCGAACGGGUGAGUGACACGCGGGUGAUCUGCCCUCCACUUCGGGUGAAACCUGUGAGACAGAGUGGAAUACAGGAUAGAUGCUAUAUUUAGCGUGAUGGUUGGAUAGUGUUUUCGGUGUAGGGUGUGCUCGCGGCCUAUCUGCUUGUUGGUGGGGUAAUGGGGUACCAAGGCGGCGACGGGUAGCCGGCCUGAGAGGGUGGCCGGCCACCCUGGGACUUAGGUGCGGCCCAGACACGUACUGGUGGGCGAAGGGGGGAAUCCUGCAGAAGCGGCGCAAGGCUGGUGCAGCGACGCCGCGUGUGGGAUGACGGUCUUCUGGGUGUAAACUCCAUUCGCUAGUGACGAAGCAUUUUGUGACGGUACCUAGAUAAGAAGCACCGGCUAACUACGUG